CCUUAAGGUAGAGACGGAUAGCAACCACGUGAUCAGUAAAAAUCGUGUAUAUUCACGUGAAUUUAUUUUCCGGAAUUCCGUACACCGUCAUAGAGUAGUUGAAAAACAUGAAGGGGUUCCGAAAGUACAAGUUGUUGCUGUGACUGACUCGAUGAUUGAGGGGGUCGUCUCGACGAAAGAUAGAGACAGUUGGCCAUAGUUUAGAUUAGGAAUACGUCAAUGUAAUAAUAGUGGACCAAAUGUUUCGUCCGUGCAGAAUGGCACUUUUUACCUCACGACCAUGCAUAGCUGCGCUACGUAAACAAUUUUACAAAGUUGUUGAUGUAGCGUGAUCGUGAUGUCCGACUCCGAGUGCUGCGAGUUUCAAUACUGUUUAUGUAGUCAUUGAGAGUUUAAACAAAGUUUCUUCUGAGAAGAGGGAUUCGAUGGAUGCAUUCAACGUGGACAACGAGAAUAUAAUUUCGUUUGUGUCAUCCUAAGGACCAGUGCAAGUUGAAAUGGGCUUCGAGUCAACAACUUCAACAGCAAUUUGCCUUGAAAAUCAGCAAGAAAGGUACUUCAUUUACAUUGAUGAUGUCAUAUCCCCUGGACCCCACAACUUUACAGAUUACAGAGAAAAUUCAAGAACUUCUGCACAAUGUGGGACUUGGAUAGAAUCAAUAAUGUAUUUGUGAGCCCAGAUAUAUUGUGCAACAUACUAAAGUGUGAAUUUAAUGGAAAACAAGUACAUAUACUCAUGUAUACUAUUAUAUGUCUUUCUUAAAGACGAUAAUAUUGCAUAAAUGUAGAUGAAGUGUCAUUGUUGAUUAUUCUAAGUUUUUGAUAUAUCAAAAUCAGUAAACAUUUCUAAAUGAAAAUAAAAUACCAAUUUUAUAACUUGUAA